ensembl:lncRNA MIR4307HG MIR4307 host gene
CAGAGUCCACAUAUGUUCGGGGGAGGGACCCCAGAAGGCGGCUGACAGUAUUCCUUUAGCCAGAAAUCCCUUCAGGGAAGAGAAAGGUGCUCCCCUUUGCCUGCUUUUAUACUACAGACUGUUUCCAACUCCAGCUAGAAGUGACUAUUGCCGAUUAUGCUAAUCAGUGGCGACAAGCUCCCUUUGACUGCUCACUUCUCCAGUGAGGCUUCAAGCUUCUAGGCAUCAAGAUUAGUAAGGCUGUCUUCUGGGUGGGCCAGUUUGUUUCUCAGUGACACGAAAACAUUGCCUGGGGUGUGCACUGGUAUUUUCCAGAAAAUAUUUCAAGCAGAAUAUACUUAUUUUCCAGUUUUGAAAACAACUAGAUUGCCCAUCUCCAUUUCUCUCUAUCAUCUACUGUAUUAUUCUAUGGACAACUGCCACCCUAAUAAGGAGUGACAUUGUUAUAACAGUGAGAUUGGCUCCUCCACUCUUUUCUUCCUCCUUCCACCAUGGGAUGGUAACAGCAAUAAGGCCCUCACAAGAUGUGAGUGCCUUGCUCUUGGACUUCCCAUACUCUACAACUCAAUUGUCAGCAUCUUUGCCACAUGUUUGGAGGCCUGAUAUCAGUUUGUCACCAUGUACUGUAUUUUUCCUGUCUGGUUGGGAGCAGAGAGCAGGUGCUUGGAAAUCCUGCUCUCAUCCAUUCUCCACACAUGACUGGUCUAUGUUCAGCUGAAUUAUGGUGAAUAUCACUUGAGAACUGCUGUAGUAACUGCACUUCAAGACCUGCCUGUAAUCUUGCCCUGCUAUUUGAUAUUCAUUCAGCAAAGCACAUAAAUGAAAUUAUUAAAACUA